AAUCUGACGUCAAGCGUCUGCGCCACGACUCCCGCGGGCCUCUCAGCGCGCACCACAUCCUGGAGGAGCUGCGCACCCGAAGCGUUUAAUUCAUCGGAUCUGAGCCACGAGUUAGUUUCAACUACUUCUUGACUGAAGGCGGCUCCGCGAGGCCGAACAAACGCUGGUGGCAGCGUCACUGACGGCAGCUUCGCUGACGGAUUCUUCCCGGGACAUCUCUGCUCUACCAACUUCUCCCUCACCGCGGGAUGUUGUCCCUCGGAGGCAGAGGAAGCGCGCCUGGAUCCGCUGGGGCUUUCAUCCUGUCUCCUCUGCUGAAUGAAGUCUGCACUGAACGUUAUGAAUGAAACAAUUCAGGCUGGAAUCACACGCCAUCUUCCCGGCACGUGAUGUAAACAAAAUUACGGGACCGGCUCGUGUUAUAGUACUUCCUGGUACGUCACUCCAGCAGGAUUAUGGGAGUUGUAGUCCAAUCUCCAGCCAUGGGUCUGAAGCUUCUGUCUCCUGACAACAGUACCUUUCCCAAAGGAAUCAAAGGCUAGCAGGUAAUAUGUUUUGUUAUUCCGGAAACUUUCAAUUAUAUAAUAUAUAUGUGGGUGGAGUGGUCUUCCUCCAACCAAGGGUUGGGGUUCAAUCUUGUGCAGGGUGCUGGGCCCUCAGGUGGGCCCUCAUAGAUGUUGAAUGCAAUAAUUAUAAAUAACUUGUAUAUAUGACUUUCUUAUGACUUCUGGCAUGCGAUGAUUUCGCAACGGACGUGCCAUGUGCUAUAUUUAUCGCAUUGCACAUGCCCGAGUUUCAGGGAUAGGAAGGGAGCGAGAUGGCUCACUCCUCAGCUACUUCCAUCAGCACCUCCGGUAAAACAAAGUUUAUUACAGCUGCGCGAAUAACACGCGCAUGAGGUAACUAACGAAUGAACGAAUAUUAAAUUCGCGGGCAACUAUUUUGUCUUCGGAUUGUCAACUACAAUCUGGUCCACUUUGAGGAAGUGCACCAGAAAAUUCUGGACAUCCUUCAUUGGAUGUGAGAGAGUGGUGGUUUACUGUUGUGUCAAGACACCACAACACUUCUGUGCGCAGCGUUGUCGUAAGGCCUGCAUGAUUAUGGCCAAAAUCAUAAUUACGAUUAUUUAGAUCAAUAUUAAUAUCAUGAUUAUUCAUACAUUUUAGGAACAAUAUAUUUUUAUAGCAUUUUCAUGUUUAAAGGCACAAGAACACUGCUUCACUUCCAUGUUGUGCUACAUUCCAGCUAAUGUACACAUCUUUCAUUAGGUCCUGGGCAAUCGACUCUCCUGUCGGUUCUUAUGGGAAAAAAUGACGUCUGUAAGCAUUGACUCUUCAUUGCAAAUUACAAUCAAUGCAGUGAAUUGUCAGGGACAUGUACGGCUCCAUUGUUGUGCUUGAUCAUUGCUCACAGUAUUUAUUGGACACAUGUCUUUGGCCAAAUGAAAUGCGAUCGCAUCAGUUAUUCCAGUGUGUCUUCGGGAAGGGGAUGGAUACGCUGUCGCACCAUGCAUGGUCGUUUAUGGUUUUCUCUGUUGACGUUGGACAUUGACGGAGAUUCAGGGAGGUAAUGUUAGUUUUGGCCUUGAUGCACUUGUUGUACUAUGGUUUGUGGGUCAUUUUUUCAGGUGGUUAAACAAGGUAGUUGUAUUGCUAUGCGGCGCAAACACAACUCUAAACUCACUCUGGCAUGAUUUGUUCUUGGUUAUCAUCACUUGCCCUAAAUUCCAAAACUACCAUACAACGGUUGAUGAUCCUUUUCGAAGGACUAGCUCCUCGCCUUCUGCUCCUGAUAAUUGAUUUACCUUUCACACGACACCGUGAUUGGCUACUCUCUGUCUCUACUCUCUAAGAAAUACCGGAACUGACUGCAGACAAAACGUUGUUCUGGCUACCGCUGCAGGGUGCGUGCAUGACAACUCCCAUUUUGUUCUCCCUCUGGUGGUUAGCGAAUGUUAGUCGAGAAAGCGCUUGAUUUGAUAUGUAGCAAAGCACGCAUUUUAAAUGUCAAUAUCGCUGACGAUCAUGCAAUUCGAUUAAUUGUGCAGCCCUAGUUGUUGUGGCUCCCUUUGUCACUCUGAGGUCCGUAAAUAGAUAGAUAGAUAGAUAGAUAGAUAGAUAGAUUACUUCAUCCCCGAAGGGAAAUUAAGUCGUCAUAGCAGCCGGUACAUUUGAUUACAAUAAAAUAAAUACAAUAGAAUAAAAUAUUGAGGUAGAAAGAAUAAAAACAGAAACACAAGAUAAAUAGGUAGAUAAGGUGCAGUGGCAGAUGAUGGUAAUAGUACUGAUGAUAUGAUGGUAAUGUUAUUGUUAGAUAGUAUAUAAAAAAUUGUAUAGUAUAUAUAUUUAUAUAUGAUAGUAAUUAUACCAAUAUAAUAGCAGUAUAUAGUAAUAAUAGCAGUAACAGUAUAUAUAAUAAUAGUCAAAUAUAAUAAUAAUAACAGGUACACAUGUAUAAAUAUGUGUAUAUAGACUUAUAUAUACAAAGAAUAUACAAAGAGUAUGAUAUAAUGUAUAGUACGGGUAUAAAUAUAAGUAUUUGGCGAUGCAAUAUAUAAUGUACUAUGAGUGUAAGAAUAUGUAGACCGAGUGUGCAAAAGACAAUAUUAUUGUAUAAAAUGAUGAAUUGAGACAGGUAUAUUUAGUUUAGUUCAGUGAUGGUGGCUCUGACAGAGGUAGAUGCGUUGUACAGUCUUAUUGCGGUUGGGAGGAACGACCUGUAUCGUUCCUUAGAGCAGCGGGGUUGAAUGAGUCUAUGGCUGAAGCUGCUCCUUAGCCUGUCCAGUGUUUUGUGGAGGGGUGAGACGGAUUGUACAUGAUUGCCAGCAUUUCAGGUGGUUUGCUGGACUUAGAGUGUUAAAUUCUGGGGUAUAGGUUGCCAUGUGCCAAGUUCACAAUAUAUUCUCCUACAGCCAGGGCAGUUGGGGGGAACCUCACCAGGCAGUAUAUAUUCUCCCGCGACAAUGUGCCUACAGCGAAUGACCACACCACGGGGGUGCAUGGUGCGCAUCACAGUUUCACAGUUAGCAUAUUCUCCUGCAGGCAUGCGCCUAUGGAGAAUAGCCACACCGCAGUGGCAUGGAACACAUAACAGGCUCACUAGGUAGCAUAUUCUCAAGCAGGCAUGCGCUUAUGGAGAAAUGCACACAUAACAGAUACCGAUUUAUUCGUCAAGCUCCGAAUUUGUGCAGUGUUGGGCGGUUACAGUAUUAGCUCAUCACUCCCAUCAUUCCUGUGUUAGCAUAUGGGGAGUGAUUAAGUUGGAGCCUAGACACCAAACACAAACAUGUUCUAUUGUGAAUAAUAAAUAUCUUAAUAAAUAAGAUAAAUAAUCAAACGUGAGUAGUCUGACUGAAAUGGAGCGAAGCCAGCGAGCUAGUUCUGGCAGGCAAAUCGAGCUGCGCUGCUUCAGUCAUGUGCCAUACAUCAGGUGACAUAAAUCAUGUGACAUAUCAGGUGACAUACUUCACCUGCCACAACCAGCCACAGCACUCAUCCACUGCAUUAGGCGGUCUAUUUAAGCAGAGGGAAAUCCCAUCUGUCCAACCAUACCCGAGCGUCUUGACCCCAUGGUAUUCAUCCAAUUCCUACAGAGCAGUGAAUAGAUCAAGAACCAAUAACCUUAUCAUGUGUCAAUGCUGCUACAAUAGAAAAUCUAUGAAUCCUCAAUGAUGACAGGUAAGACUGUCAUUUACCUUGGCUUUAUAUUUCCUUAUUACUGAAUUGUUGUCAAGGUGAGUCAGAGUAUACGAUAACGGAAGCAGUCUAAUAGGAAAUCUGACAAGGACGCUCAUUUAAUCCUCUACAUGACCUUAUCCUUUCUAGUCUUAGAAGAACACAUGUUUACAACAAGUCUGAUAGAUCUUGUCGAGACUUCUGAAUUAUCAUUGCUAAGAAUAAAUACUGCUUUCUGUUCUUUCUUCUCUAUGAUCAAACGCUUGCAUCCCUCUUCAACCCAUCUGACGACACCCUUGCCUACCAACAAUGGUUGAAAAUGCAUGACGAGAUCUCCUCAAAGCUUCGCCAUCCCUGCCAGAGCUGAGGCCUAACACCUGGAUGCUGUUCCCGCACUCCUUAAGAUGUGGCACCGCUAUGACUGCAACACUCCAUCAUCAAUGCUACUCAUGCUAUGUUGGACACCACAAGAAGGAAUAUUGACUCUCAAACAUCAUCUGCAGCCUUGGUGUUUUAAUAUGUAAUCUCCGCUGCACAAAUCCUUUGUUGCAUGUCAGAUCUCGGGAUCCAUUACGUCUCCGCGUCCGGGUAUAGUCACAGGCAUGUUUUGGCGCGCCUUCAUACCCUCAAAUGGUGACGAUACAAUGCAAACGAUGCCAAGGGAUUCAUUGCACCCUUGCCGUGGCAUACAUCUGUUCCUGUCCAUCCUGGGAGAGGGAUCCCUCACAUGUGGCUCUCUCUGAGGUUUCUACAUUUUCCCCUGUUUAUGGGGGUUUUUUGGUAGUUUUUCCUUACUCUUGUCGAGGGUUAAGGACAGGAUGUCGCAUUUGUUAAGCCCGAUGAAACGAAUCAUGUUUUGAAUAUUGGCGAUACAAACAAAACAUGUGAGUGAAUAAUUUCUAUGUGCUUUGCAGACUGAUUCUUUUAUUGCAUUUCAGGUGGUAUGCUGGGCUUAAAGGUGAAAUUCCGAUGCAUAUGUUGCCAUGUGCCAAGUUCACUAUAUUCCCGUAUAUGGAACCUCACCAGGUAGUAUAUUCCCCCGCAGACAAUUUGGCUACAUCGAAUGACCACACCACGGCGGUGAAUGGCUCACAUAACAGGUUCACUAGUUAGCAUAUUCUCCUGCAGGCUAAUGCCCCUACGGUGAAUGGCGCACACAUAGCAGAUACCGAUCCAUACGUCAGGCUCCGACUAUGUGCAGUGUUGGGGGGUUACAAGUAUUUGCUCAUCACUCCCAUCAUUACUGUGUAAUCAUAUGGGGGAGUGAUUAAGUUGGAGCCUAGACGCCAAACACUAAAUCUGUUGUAAUAAAUAUAUUACAUGAUCAAACGUGAGUUGUCUGACAGAAAUAUGGCGACGCCUGCGAGCUAGUUCUGGCAGGCAACUCGAGCGGCGCUGCGCCAAUCAGGUGUCAUACAUCAUGUGACAUACAUCAUGUGACAUACCUCAAUCUCCACAACCAUCUUAAUACACACCCACCUUAUCAGGUGGUCUAUUUAACCAGAGAGACAUUUCCCAUCAACCCCUCUUGCUCGCACUGCUGCUGCAGUAUUGCUACCUGUUGCUUCAGUCCCUCCACCACCCCAGCAUCCACCUGUAGGCCCAGCAUCCACCUGUAGGCUCCAACGGGGGUUACAAGUAUUUGCUCAUCACUCCCAUCAUUACUGUGUAAUCAUAUGGGGGAGUGAUUAAGUUGGAGCCUAGACGCCAAACACUAAAUCUGUUGUAAUAAAUAUAUUACAUGAUCAAACGUGA